GGACAACAAUGGCAUACUAUUAUUUUCAAGUGGAAGUUUAACUGCUUUACCUUUUUUUUAAUCAUACACCAAUAUAUACUUGACAGAUAUAUUUACACAUUUAUUUAGUGUACAAAUAAUAUUAUGUACAUCAAAUAUCAUUAGUCAUAAGUACAUAAAGGAAAUGUUCUUGUUUCCUCAGUUAAAUAAAUAAAUCAAUUCCAAAGUAGAUAAAUACCUAUAAUUAACUUGUACAUUUUUAAAAUGUAAUUAAAACGUACACUAUUUUACAUGGAAUUUACACUAUAGUGCAUAUUCUACACCUACAUAUUUGAUGGUAUGAAUUCCUUAUUCCCUAGGUAUUCCUUAUCAAAAAUGUAGUAGAAAGUAUACAACUUUUGUUAAAAUUAACAGAAUAAAGCAAUACAGUAAAAUACAUAGAUAUAACAUACCUAGUUAAACUAGGUUAGAACUAGUUAGGAAUACUAUAAAUAAUAUUAACUGUCCUAACAUUGUCAAGUGAAUGUACAUACUAAAAAUAUUAAUUUAAUGUCAUUAAUUAUUUGUAUACAAAAUCAAAUUGGUAUUAUUAAAGUUACCAUUUUACAAAACAAAGUAAUAAUUAAAGAUCAUACAAUUCUAUCACCAAAAGAUACCUUAGUACAUAUAUUUUUUUUUAUAUUAAUUUCUAUAAGUUAUUCUUAUAUGACACCUUAACACAGUUAAUUUCAACAAUUUUGAUUAACUGUUAAUUAUACACAAUUAAUUUAUAAAUCAUGCAACACUAUUAAUAUAGGUAAGUACUUAAUACCAAUGUGUAGUAUCUCAACACACAAUUUACUAAUCAUUAUUAUUUUUGUUCAAAAUAUUUUAUAUUUUCUAAUAAUAUCCCACUGAUGACCGAUUUGCAACUGGUACAAGUAUUAAUACAAUAAUACUUAGAAAUAAGUUUCAAACUCUUAAAAUGUAAAAGUAAUCCUUCAAGUGGUAGGUUAUAUUGAAUAUAUCUAGUUAUUAAAAGGACAUGAUAUGUUACCCUUAUGUGUUAUUUCAGUCCAAUUAAUAAGCAACAUAGCAAAAAUAUUAUAAUACAGACUGAGUAAACCUUGUUUAAUUUUAGUUUUAGAAUAAAAGCACUUGCUAUAAAACUAAAAGAAGACUAAUAUUUAGUAGGGCACCAUACUGUGGUUAAAAUAAAAUAAACAUUUAAAAAAUUUACAGUAAUUUUAAAAUAUUAAAACAUUUCAUAAUAAUGUACAUCACAUUUAAAAUGAUGGCAACAAGGUGUUCUCCAGAAUAUUAUCCACUUUUAGUUUUAUAAUUAGGUGCUUUAAAACUAAAACUAAAUUAAUUAUAAUCAGUCUGAAUAAACAUGUUUUUGUUAUAUUCUUUAGUUGGUCAGAGCUAGUAAUUAAAGGUCUCACAUUAUUUUAACUUAAUCAAUACAUAUAUGAUAUAAUUGAACAAUGAACAAAUGUUUAUUUCUAUAGAAUAUUUAAAGUUUUGAUAAAUAAACAAAAAUGGAUAUUUAUUGUAGUUCAUGAAUUUAAACCCCCUCAUCAAAUUAGUUUUCUGUAAAAAAAAUUAGGUUAAAGAAAAGAAAAUAUCUAGGCUAUAUUUAAAUAAUUAAGAUAUAGGUGCUAAUUUUGGUUUUAAAUUUGUUUUGGGAAUUUUAAAAUUUAAACAAAAAAUGAUCAAUUAAUUAUCCUAUUUAAUGUUCAGUAUUAAAUAUACCUACCUAUACAAUACAUCAUAUUUUAUUUUAAUGUGAAAUGUUUAAUCAAUAUUUGUAUUAAUAAUACUUGUAAUUAUGUAUUUAUGUUUACCUACAAGAGUGAAUUUAACUUUUAAGAAAUAAAUAUUAAAUUCAAACAAAUGAACUGGAAAAACAUAUAUUUUAUUGUUUUGGAUUUGUAUGUCAAAAUAAAUAAAAAAUCAUUUUAUAAUUAUUAUUUCAGUUGGUAAUUUGUCAAUGUUGAACCAUUAUGAUAAUAUGAUUUAAUGAUAUUAAUACAAUUCUUAUAUUUUCUCAUUCAGCU